rnacentral:rRNA from 1 species
GACGAACGCUGGCGGCGUGCUUAACACAUGCAAGUCGAACGAAGAGCGACGGAAGCUUGCUUCUAUCAAUCUUAGUGGCGAACGGGUGAGUAACGCGUAAUCAACCUGCCCUUCAGAGGGGGACAACAGUUGGAAACGACUGCUAAUACCGCAUACGAUCUAACCUCGGCAUCGAGGAUAGAUGAAAGGCGGCCUCUACAUGUAAGCUAUCACUGAAGGAGGGGAUUGCGUCUGAUUAGCUAGUUGGAGGGGUAACGGCCCACCAAGGCGAUGAUCAGUAGCCGGUCUGAGAGGAUGAACGGCCACAUUGGGACUGAGACACGGCCCAGACUCCUACGGGAGGCAGCAGUGGGGAAUCUUCCGCAAUGGACGAAAGUCUGACGGAGCAACGCCGCGUGAGUGAUGACGGCCUUCGGGUUGUAAAGCUCUGUUAAUCGGGACGAAAGGCCUUCUUGCGAAUAGUGAGAAGGAUUGACGGUACCGGAAUAGAAAGCCACGGCUAACUACGUG